rnacentral:rRNA from 1 species
GAAUCAUGGCUCAGGAUGAACGCUGGCGGCGUGCCUAACACAUGCAAGUCGAGCGAAGCACUUUGCUUAGAUUCUUCGGAUGAAGAGGAUUGUGACUGAGCGGGCGGACGGGUGAGGUAACGCGUGGGUAACCUGCCUCAUACAGGGGGGAUAACAGUUAGAAAUGACUGCUAAUACCGCAUAAGACCACAGCACCGCAUGGUGCGGGGGUAAAAACUCCGGUGGUAUGAGAUGGACCCG